UUCCCCAGAUCGAUCGUCACGGCAGCGAACUCAUGGCGGACUCCGUGGAGACGUUCCAGACACACCUCACCUCUGUCAUGGACAGUUUGAUCCGAGCGUCGGUGUGCGAGAUCACCAAACUGUUCCAGGACACGGUGAACGACUUUCUGGUGGAAAUAUCUCUGAAUAGGAAUGAAAUGGAGGCUCUGAAACUCCGACUCCGACUGACCGAGAACAAACUGAGAAAUGAACGCAAGUACGGGAUGGGGUGGGCAGAGAAUCGCCGCAAUGCUGGUUUGAUAGGGUCGGAGGACGGUGGGCGGAAAAAGCGAAAAAUGGAAGUGCCCCAAGGAAAGCAGAAGCUGGGUCCUGCAUUUGGAGGCGUGUGGGAGGAAGGAGGAGGAGCAGCCGGGGAAGUAGCAGGGGGAGGCUGGAAGGAGGCACGCCAGAUGUACCUCAUCCAUGUCCCUGGGGACGAGGAGGAAGAAGAAGGAGAACUAUUGGAGGAGGGCUGUAUUUCGGGAGAGGGGGAGGAGACGGACAUCAUCAAAGAGGAGGUGAGGGAGAAGAGGAGUGCUAAGUAAUCUGUGUGGCACACACAGUGUCAGUGUGUCAGAGACGACUAGUUUACAAAAAUAACAGUGCGUAUCAUCUGUGUGUGGUGAGACUGAGAAUGUUGUUAAACUGCUGUUUUCUGAGUCCAUGAGACACACUGCAGCAGAUGGCGUGGAUGGUGGAAAGCCACUGAUUUGAUAUUCAACUGCAGAAGUAGCUCAAGCACUUGUUCAGUAGGGCAGUCAAUGUUAAGUGCAGAGCGUUGUAGACACUAUACAUGAAUAUAAUUUUGGGUGCGAACACAGUUUUGUAUUCUACAUGACUGAGAUCAUGCAGUUGCGUCUAUGCAAUGUACAGAUGACCUUUAUUGUAUCUCAAACUGUUUAAACUUGACACUUUUAAAGAAAAUGCCCUGUGUAAAACAGGACCCUCGUUGUUUGUGGCACUUGUGAAAGUGCACUUUGCAUGCACAAAAAUACUGGGUGUGGUCGUGCACUCUGCAUUGCAUUAUUGUGUAGUCUAUGGGGCUGUACUGGUGGGUAAUGUAGUUUAUUUUUGCUCUGUCUGUAGUCCGGUGAUAUGGUGGAUGGGGGUUACCAGCCUGCCUCUCUGCGGCUGAUCAAGGAAGCCCUGAAGAUGGACCCACCCAACCAGAACUGCCAUGGAUCCAGAACUCACAGCGAAGGUACUGACUCCAGCUGAAAGCUCAGAACCAAAAACAUGAUGACCACACCUCCUGGAUAGUGAUAACUUCACUGUGUUCACAUUGGGGUUUUCUUAAGUGUCUGCAGUACAAUAUGUUUGCAUACACCCUCAUAGUACUGCUCCUCUAACAGACUCUCACUCUCCUU
rnacentral:lncRNA from 1 species